UGCUUCUGGCACGUUUGCAAGAUUAGCCAACACAACCACAGCUCUCUCCACCGUUCCAGCUGCAGGAUUCAUCAUCUGGAUCAAGUACCUAACUCCUCCACCUCUGAUCACCAUCUCUUUCUCCCUGUUGCGUGUCGCGAGGUUGGUUAGAGCCGUGGCUGCGUCCUUUUUCCCCCUGGGACUUCCAUUACCCAUAAGCCUAACAAGUGGCUCUAUAGCUCCUGCUUGUAGCAUCUUUGUCCUGUUCUCUUCGGCUUUAGACAAGCUCACUAGAGCUCUUGUUGAGUUCUCUUUGGCUUCCAUGUUUCCUGUCUUGAGAACGUGAACGAGCGGCUUGAAUACUCCACUAUACGCGAUGACGGUUUUGUUGCUGUCGUCGAGUGAUAAGUUGAGCAAGCAAGUCACGGCUUCCGCUUGGAUCAUCUUGUCCAUGGAGUAAAGCUUAUUGACUAACGCAGCGAUUGCUCCGCACCUUGCAAUCACAGUGCGGUCGUCUGGAAUGUCUUUUGUUAGUAGCCUGAGCUGAGCUGUGGCCUCUCUUUGUGCAUCUAACGAAGAACUCUUGAGAUCUUGAAUCAGUUUCUUCACCUCUACUUCCAUACUUGAACUGCCUCCAGUUUCUUCUGCUUCCAUGUUUGAACUGCUUCCAGUUUCUUUCAUGGUCGCUGGGAUGAUCCAGGGCUGAGGAACAGUUUCACCCGGUGCCUGUGAGAUCGAUGUGUUGGCUUUGGAAACAACUUUAGAGACAAUGCCUGGUGCAGAAGCAGACCUAGUUAAGACCUGAUGCAGCUCCUCGCAUUUGCUAGCAUCUACAGAUUCUAUAUGGUUGCACUUAAGUGUAUCAUCCAUUACAGGAAGAGGCAGAGAACCUCUGGAGUCAUCAGCAGAACAUGAUCCAACAAGAAGAGGGAAAGGCUGAUUUGAGUGAAUCAGCUCCAAAGGAUCAGGAGGAUUGACAUUGUUUGAUUCACACCAGUUGGCAAUGAAUGCCUUGACAGUGAAGUUAGGUGUCAAAGUGGUCUGAGACAAAGCCUGCCUUGUCUUUGGGCAGACCAUGAGUCCCAUAUCAAACCAUUUUUCGAUAAAAGCCCGUUCGUAUGUUUGACCAGAUGUCACAGUGACAGGAUCAGUCAUAAGCUGAAGUGAUAGAGGGCAGAAAAAGUCAGAAGGUGACUGAGACUGCUCUAUCUUGGCAAGGUAAUCAUGCAUUUGCUUGGUCAGAUAGAUCAAUCCCUUUAUAAAACCAGCUCGGGUGUUGUCCUUGACAAGGUUAGCAUCAACUUCAAAUUUGAAGUUUUGAUCACUCUUCAGAACUUCAAAUUUGAAGUUUUGAAAUUUCUUUUUAGAGAGCAAAAAACUUUAUAUUUGAAGUUAUAGAGUGUUUUUUUGGAGAUGUUCUAAAGUCAAUGAUUUCGGCAGAUGAUUACCUACUGCACAAGUCCAUUUCGCAUCAUGCCUUCCAUGGCCAAUCUUGAUUCACGUUGCAUGAUUGUAAACCUCUCUUAAAUUUUACAACCAAAUAUUAGGCGUACAAGACUAUAAAUAUCCACAUGCACAAAACAAAUAUACAUUAACAUAUAAUAUAUAAUCUUAUCGCAUUCGUAUAUAUAUAUGUGUAUAGUUCAAGUUUGCCAAUUAUUUUAUGAAAUUACAUGCCAGCUUUUUGAUGUGAUAAAUAUACUAUUAAAUGUAUAGCAAACUUAAAUUUAACAGAAAAGGCUAUUUGAUAGAAAACUAUCACUGAUCAAGUUCCUCCAAUGUAUGAUAACAAUGUGAUUAUGAUGAGUUUGAAAAUGUAAUUUUAAUAUAAAAAGAAAAGUAUAAACGACAAUGAAUACGUCGUUUCUUGCGGUCUUUUAUUCAUGGUGACAGUUUUUUCAAGCAGGAAAAUUGACUGUGGUGGGAUCGAUUGUAAGCGAUUCGUUCUUCUGAAAACAUAAAUCUGGUGUACAAUUUGAACUACUGUGAAGAUGGUUCCAUGGUGAGCUGUUCUUCAAUGGUAAAACUUUGAUUGACGGCAGAGUUUCGUCGAAUCUCCCUCCAAUCAUCGGUUGAGUGUGAGACGGAAGCGAUGCGUGUCGCUCCGACGGUCCUGAUCAUUCCACGUAUCCGGUCUCCUCGACGCGUGGACCAGCCGAAGUCGCCGGGUGUCUCGUGGUUUGGGUGUUGGGUCACUGGCCCAUUAACUGUUCUUGGUUGGCCUGUGAGCUUGUUGUUUUUUUGGAUUUGUAGUGUAUGUGGGCUUCGGUCUUGUAAUUGGGCUUGGUCCCUUCUCCAUUAAUAUAAAAACUUUGACGGAAAAAAAAAAAGAAAUGUUGACAAAAAUAUAGUUGUUGCACCAUACGUUUCAACUAUAUCUGGUACCACAUUUUCCUUUUUUCUCCUAGUAGUGCUUUAUUUCGAACAUAGCUUUUAUAAUUAUACAACUCGACCAAGACUUAUCAUAUGAUUUCAAAUCCACAUUCUACCUUUAUUUCGUAGAUGACAAACCUUGUCUUGAUAAUGAGGAAAGUUUCUUUUUCAUGAAUGUUAACCCACAUCCUUCUAGAUUUUUUUUUUUUUUGCUAAAUAACACCCUUCUAGAAUUGGACAUCGAAAAAUAUAAAAUUUAAAUUUAAAUAUGCAAAUAGUCAUUUUCCUAUUGUAUUUAUAGUUUGUAAAUCGUACAUGUGGUCAGAGUCUAAUGCUUAACAACUUAUGGAAACAUUUGUAGACCAUUAUUACAUGUUUGAAAAUGAGAAAGGUAAGAAAAUGUCAUACAGUAAAAUAGACGUUAGAUCAUUCUAAUUGAACUGUAGCUAGAAAGUAAGAAAAUAAGAAAAGGAUGCAUAGUUUAUCCUCUAUACAUACAUAGAAACAAAUUUAAAACGCUCGUAGUUAACAACAGAACAUCAAAAGAAAUUAUAAAAGCUCAUGAUAAAAUGUAUGAUGCAUGUGGAAGAUGAAUGGUGAUGGUGCUGGGUAAAGCGUAGCUAUCGCGUGCCAAAAAUAGUGGCCUAGGCCCACUCCUCCACAGACCCAACCUUCUAAGUUAUUAUUAUUAUUUAUAUUUUUUUGGUUCUUUUUAACGAUAUUUUCUUGGUUCUUGUUUUUCUUACAUAUCUAUGUUUUCAUUUAUCAAAAAAGUAAGUAGAUAUAUGAUAUAUUAUAACAAGGUCUCUUAUACCAAAAGCCUGCCAUAACUUUAUAGCCUCUCAGAUUUAUCAUGUGUGUUCUUACUAAAAGGGUUCUCGAAACAUUUUAGUUUUUACCCGCCAAAGCAAAUAUAAAACAGUUAACAGCCUAAUGCAAGUUGACCACUAAAGAAGACAUAUAUAGUAUAAAACAUAUUUUCAGGAUUCUAAUUAGGCACAAGAAGAACUCGAAACAUAGUUAAACAUACGAAUAUACGAUGCAAAUUAAUAUAGACUAUGCUCAACUGUGGACAAUUGUCACGAUACUAAAAGGAAAAAAGAAAAAGAAACACCAUGUCUAGUAAAUUUAGGACUUAUUCUUCUCAUGAUCUUUAUUAUGGUUAGAAAAAAAUUUAAAUGGGAAAUAACUUUUGAUGUAAAAUAAAUAGUAUAGUUUUUUUUCCGAUGGCUUAAUGUCUAUUUUCAAAUAUUAUUAUAAUACUUUCUGUAUAUAAAUAAAUACAAUACACAUGUAAUUUAUGUAUCAAAAGACUAUAGGUUUUAGUGGGAAAAUAACUAAAAGAAAAGGAUCGAUAUCGUUUUGACUUUUUCAACAGAGACUUAUUUUGUCAUCUUUAAAUAUUCGCCCACUCUUUCGUUUAUGUGUUUAAAUUUAAAAACUUUCUCUCUGUCUCUCGUUGGAAACUCGGAAGCUUCGAAAAUGGGGAGGACUUGUACAGAGGAAGAAGAAACCCUUUUGAUCUCACAUGGCAAUCAAGAUCAAGAGGACGAAGAAGAAGAUGAUGACGCACAAGAAGAAGAAGAAGAAGCGUUGUCUCUGUCUGAUUUGCCGGUGAGUUUAUCUAAUGAGAAAGUUCAUUUCCCAAAACAGUCAAAGUCAGAAGAAGAAGAAAUCGAAUCCGGGUUCGAAUUCGAAAUCGGGUCAUCGUUUCGGCUCGGGUCGGAUUCGUGUGAACCGGCUCCGGAGAUGAGUACCGCGGACGAAUUAUUCUCCAAAGGCCGAAUCUUGCCUCUACGUCACUCCUUCAGCUUAGACGCCGGUUCGAACCGGUUAAUCACCAGAUCCGAAUCGGUUGAAUUCCGACGAACCAGAGCCGGAUCAGACCGGAAAAUCAAAAACAAUUUCAUCGACUACAGUCAACCGAGUCCAAACCCACAGAUCAGACGAUCAUCGAGCAUGACGGCGAGGGUGAACUCAAUCAGAAACCCUAAGUCAUCUUCGAUUUGGGACUUUCUCCGGCUAGGACUCGUCCGCACGCCGGAGAUCGAGCUCCGAACGGCGUCGAACGCAAGAGUAUCAGUGAGUCGGAACAGUAGCUGCAGCAGCACGAGCACGAGCUCGAACUCGAAGAAAACAGGAGAGUCGAGAUCGAGGAACCGGAGAAGAAGCUUUCUGUUCGCGGAUUGCAAAUGUUCGGUGGCGACGGAGACGGUCGUGCCUGUGAAAAUCAGUGUCUCCGGUGAGACGGAGGAGAAACAGAGGAAGAAGACGGCGAAGAAAGAGGAGAAAACAGCGGUUGCGCGUAAGAGAACGUUUGAGUGGUUGAAAGAGUUAUCACAGGUAGGUUCUGUCGUUGACCAUGGCAGAAGAAGCUUGGCGUGAUUGAUGAUUCGAGCAAAAGACACAUUCUUGUUUCGCUGCUUCAUUUUUUUUUUUGUCUUUACUAUUUUAAGUUAAAUGUAUUUUUGUGUUUAAUCAUUUCCUACGUAAUUAUCUUUUUGUAUGUUAGUGGCUAAUUUUCAAUUAUACAGUACUUUAGUUUAUUUCAUUAUGAUUUAUAUUUUAUCUAAGUUUUAAAUCACAUUUUCUUACGUAAUUAUCCUUUUGUAUGUUAGUGGCUAAUUAUCAAUUAUACUUUAAUUUAUUUCAUAUGAUUUAUAUUUUAGCUAAGUUUUAAAUCACAUUUUCUCUUAUCAUCUCUGUAAUAUAUUCGGAAUUUCAAUUAUUCUGCUCAAAUCACCCAACUUUACACACAAAAAAUCCCAAUCCAACCUUUGAAAGUGCACUACACAUUCAUCAGCUAAUAUCAGUCUCAUAAAAAACUUUUUUAAAGUUAAGUUUAAUUUUAGACGAGCAAGACAAGAGAGAUGCAUACACGUAUAUGAGAUGGUAUGAAAGUGAAACAUCAUUUAAGAAACGAGAAUGAUGUGAAAGUGAAAUAUCAUAUAGGUGUGCUUAACUUUAUUUUUCUUUUCUUUUUGUUUUCCAUAAUAGAUAAGGAGUGGUGCUUGGCAUGAUUAAAAGCAAUGAUGUUUAUAUAGACAAAGACGUGAAAUUUCUCACCAUCAAAAUCGUAUAAUAUAAUGUUUUACUACCAAAUCCUCAACUCACUUGUGAGAUGUGCAUUAGGCGGCUUCAAAAUCUACCGAAAACUCGCUGGAAACUUUCAAAUGGGCCUCCCAUCAGUUCAAUGUAUUUCAAAUGAAAUUAAAAGUAUAGAGUAAAAAACUGUGGAGUUAUUAAUUAAAAAUAAUUUAUUUUUAGAUAUUUUUUUUUAUAAAAUAGGAAAAUAGUUAAUUUUACUAUUAAACUUUAGAAAUCCUAUUUUCAUAUUGUUUUCAUUAUAUUAUUUAAUGUAUAUGAAAUAUCUUUCAUAUAAUUUAAAUAUCAUUUAGACAUAAUUUUACUAAAUAUUAUCAAAGUAUAAUAAAAUAUUAAGAAAUAAUAUAGAUAAAUUUAUUGUAAAUAUAAAACAAAUAAUAUUUAUUUGUACUAUAUAAUCUGUAUAUAUACAAUUUAUUAAUUUAUUAUUCUAAUAGGACCAUAUAUUUAUAUAUUAUCUAAAAAUUUAUGAUCUUUUUAUUUUAUCGAUUUGUGUUGUAUUUUGAACUGGUAUAAAUCAUGACUGAUUUAUUAAUUUUACUAUUUUACUUCGAUAAAAUAAUAAGAGAACAAUAGACAAUUCUCAUAUUAAAUAUUCACUGUUUAAUUUUUCACAUUGCAUACAUGUUUUCCAUACAAAUCACUAUAUAAUAUAGCAUCAUAUAUAUGUAGAUGUAUAAUCUUUCACAUUGCAUACAUGUUCUCCAUCUAUAAUAUAUCAUCAUAUACGUGUAGAUGUAUCAUAAUUGUAUAGGUUAGUAGUAAAACCUGCGAAGUAAAACUAAGAUCAGUUUCGCCUCUGGUUCUCUUGUUUUAAGGCUUCAAAGUACUUAAGAAGACUCUUUGCCUGAAACAAACAAAAGCAUAGAAACAGUUAGUUAUUAGUUAUUACCAAACAAGAAGAGGAAAGACAAAGCAAAGGAAAAGAACCUUUUCUUUGGCUCUUGUUGUUCCUGAUCUAGUAAGAGCCACAAGAGGUGGAAUAGCUCCUUCUCUUAUAACAAUGUUGCAGAAUCUUGAGCUAUCCAUACAAAGCACGCAAAGUGCUGCAGCUGCAUUCUCUUGUCCUCUUGGUGAACCCAACUCCACAACGUCCACCAAUAACGGUAUCCCUCCUCCAUCUCUAAUCGCAAUCUUUGCUUCUGGCACGUUUGCAAGAUUAGCCAACACAACCACAGCUCUCUCCACCGUUCCAGCUGCAGGAUUCAUCAUCUGGAUCAAGUACCUAACUCCUCCACCUCUGAUCACCAUCUCUUUCUCCCUGUUGCGUGUCGCGAGGUUGGUUAGAGCCGUGGCUGCGUCCUUUUUCCCCCUGGGACUUCCAUUACCCAUAAGCCUAACAAGUGGCUCUAUAGCUCCUGCUUGUAGCAUCUUUGUCCUGUUCUCUUCGGCUUUAGACAAGCUCACUAGAGCUCUUGUUGAGUUC
rnacentral:lncRNA from 1 species